UAAUACAUGCAAGUGGAACGCAAUGAAUUCUACCGUAGCUUGCUACACUUGAAUUCAUUGAGUCGCGAACGGGUGAGUAACGCGUAGGUAACCUACCUAUUAGCGGGGGAUAACUAUUGGAAACGAUAGCUAAUACCGCAUAAGAUUUGUUAACACAUGUUAAGAGAUUAAAAGGAGCAAGAGCUCCACUAAGAGAUGGACCUGCGUUGUAUUAGCUAGUUGGUAAGGUAACGGCUUACCAAGGCAACGAUACAUAGCCGACCUGAGAGGGUGAUCGGCCACACUGGGACUGAGACACGGCCCAGACUCCUACGGGAGGCAGCAGUAGGGAAUCUUCGGC
rnacentral:rRNA from 1 species